UUUGAUUAAAAAACAAUUCUUUAAAAAAACGGGUAAAUUUGAGGAUACAAGGUUAGCAGCGCACAGGUUACAGUAGAUACUAGGGCUACAUACUUAUCGGGGAUGUUUUGACACUGGUCAGUUCCGUCUCGUCCUAACACUUCUCGUAAUAAAAAAAACAACGGUUUGUAAUAAAAGUGAUGGUUUAAAAAUAAAACAUGUCUUCGUCGAGGCUCGUCCGAGGGACGAAAGCGCGCAUGUUCGCGUUCGUCUGCCUCGUCUGCGUCCUGGCCGCCGUCCUCUACGUCUUCCACGGGACGCAGGUACGGCUGGCCGACGUCCAGAAGCAGCUCGUCGGCUGCACGCAGCAGAAGGAAUCCUUCCACGCUCAGCUUCAAGUUAUAUUCGAAUACAAAGAGCGUCUUGAGAAGUCGCUCAACAAGGAAAAAGUGGACCAUAAGCAGACGCGAGAGUCACUUGAAAGGAGGCUCAAAGAGGAGAAAGAACGCCUCGAAUCCGACUACACGAGCAAGUCGGACGUUCUACAGCAGAAGAACAACGACCUCCAAGGCCAGCUCGAAGAGCUCAAAGAUGCCAACGAGAAGCUCACAGACGCAAAGACGCGCCUUUCGCUCAGUUUAGACAUGAUAAAAAAGGAGCUCGAGACGCUCAGGAUUAAAAAUGACGAUACCAUUGAAGGGAUGAAGACAGACUGGCUUAAAAAAGAGGAAGAAGUUCAGGAGUUGAAGAAACAGAUCGAAGAUUACAAGUUGAAAAUGCUCCCUGAGACGGACAGGAAUAACUAUCUUGAGAAGCAGAACUUCCAGAUGAAAGAGGAAAAUGAUAAAAUGAAGAAAGACUUGUCAGAGUGCAAGGAGAGGGAGAAAAAACCGGCAGUCCAUCCAAGCCCAGUGGCCAACGGGAAGUCGAACAAGGCCGCCGAGGAGGACGCGAACAUUCUCAGGGUUGGACCGUUGUUAAAAUCGUUCUCUUCAACGCCAGGCAUAAAUCCAGAUGCCCUUCUCGGCGCCUCAUCUGCCAAACCUGUCAAAGACGAUGCGUCAAGAAAAGACGAGCAAGCCGCAGUGGCCAGCAUGCCUAAAAAGCCGACACAGGAAAGUGUGAUACCACUUGUCCAGCCGAGAAAGGUUGACGAUACCCUCGCUAUGGGCCAGGGGCAGAUCCCGCAACCUCCAAACCCGCCCAACCCGCUUUCCAACAUCCUUCAGAAACCGAACGUAGUCGAAGAUCCGCCAGAGGCAAACAUCAAUCUGCCUGAAGACAGCGAGGACAACAUGAUAAAACAGCAACAAGCCAAGGCGCAACUGCAAGAGCCGAACCUGUUCCUAGUCGACGCCAAUCGCGCCGAAGAGGAAGAAGAGCAAGUGGCCCAAUUCAAACAAGACCUAUUUUUCUCUCUUAAACGCGAAAAAAAAAGUAUUAAAAAAUAUUCGGUUCUCUUUUCACCCGAGGCCGGCCAAGAACCAGAACUACCGAGGCGGCGACUAUGACAAGGAACAACAAGAAGAAGAAGAUGAAGAGGGCGAGCUGAUUGACGAUGAAGGUGAUCGUGUUAAAGACGGCAAGAGGGUCAGAAUACCCCCUCAAGUUGGACUCAUGCAACAGAGGAACGGCGGAGGCGGCGUCAUGGUGAAUCCGAAA
rnacentral:misc_RNA from 1 species